rnacentral:rRNA from 1 species
CUCACAGCUGGCCGCUCGGUUGUGACAUGCCUAAUACAUGCAAGUCGAGCGAAUGGAUUGAGAGCUUGCUCUCAAGAAGUUAGCGGCGGACGGGUGAGUAACACGUGGGUAACCUGCCCAUAAGACUGGGAUAACUCCGNGGAAACCGGGGCUAAUACCGGAUAACAUUUUAGAACUGCAUGGUUCGAAAUUGAAAGGCGGCUUCGGCUGUCACUUAUGUGAUGGACCCNGCAGUCGCAUUAGCUAGUUAGGUAGAGGUAACGGCUCACCAAGGCAACGAUGCAGUAAGCCGACCUAGAGAGGGUGAUCGGCCACACUGGGACUGAGACACAGGCCCAGACUCCUACGGGAGGCAGCAAGUAGGGAAUCUUCCGCAAUGGACGAAAGUCUAGACGGAGCAACGCCGCGUAGAGUGAUGAAGGCUUANCGGGUCGUAAAACUCUGUUGUCUAGGGAAGAACAAGUGCUAGUUGAAUAAGCUGGUCACCUUGACGGUACCUAACCAGAAAGCCAACGGCUAACUACGUGCCAGACAGACCCGCGGUAAUACCAGAGGGUGCGAGCAGUAAAUCGGAUUUACUGGGCGUU